rnacentral:rRNA from 1 species
GACGAACGCUGGCGGCGUGCUUAACACAUGCAAGUCGAACGGAAAGGCCCUGCUUGCAGGGUACUCGAGUGGCGAACGGGUGAGUAACACGUGGGUGAUCUGCCCUGCACUUCGGGAUAAGCCUGGGAAACUGGGUCUAAUACCGGAUAGGAGCCAUUUUUAGUGUGAUGGUUGAAAAGUUUUUUCGGUGUAGGAUGAGCUCGCGGCCUAUCAGCUUGUUGGUGGGGUAAUGGCCUACCAAGGCGGCGACGGGUAGCCGGCCUGAGAGGGUGGACGGCCACAUUGGGACUGAGAUACGGCCCAGACUCCUACGGGAGGCAGCAGUGGGGAAUAUUGCACAAUGGGCGCAAGCCUGAUGCAGCGACGCCGCGUGGGGGAUGACGGCCUUCGGGUUGUAAACUCCUUUCGCUAGGGACGAAGCUUUUUGUGACGGUACCUAGAGAAGAAGCACCGGCUAACUACGUG